rnacentral:misc_RNA from 1 species
GAUGAAGAACGCAGCGAAAUGCGAUAAGUAAUGUGAAUUGCAGAAUUCAGUGAAUCAUCGAAUCUUUGAACGCGCAUUGCGCCCGCCAGUAUUCUGGCGGGCAUGCCUGUCCGAGCGUCAUUUCAACCCUCGAACCCCUCCGGGGGGUCGGCGUUGGGGAUCGGCACUUACCUGCCGGCCCCGAAAUACAGUGGCGGUCUCGCCGCAGCCUCUCCUGCGCAGUAGUUUGCACACUCGCACCGGGAGCGCGGCGCGUCCACGGCCGUAAAACAACCCAAACUUCUGAAAUGUUGACCUCGGAUCAGGUAGGAAUACCCGCUGAACUUAAGCAUAUCAAUAAGCGGAGGA